AUGUUUGGUUGGCGCCGGGGCCACGGUGAUCACUUACCCCCUGGUCCCAGGUGGAGGCUCGCCCUUACACUCUGGCAGGUUGAAGCCUGCGACAAUCCCUAAUCGGGCUCGCUCGGGCGCGAUAGGGCGGUGGUGGCCCGGUGGUAACGUCACCAA
rnacentral:snRNA from 13 species